GAUGAACGCUGGCGGCGUGCCUAAUACAUGCAAGUCGAGCGAAUGGAUUAAGAGCUUGCUCUUAUGAAGUUAGCGGCGGACGGGUGAGUAACACGUGGGUAACCUGCCCAUAAGACUGGGAUAACUCCGGGAAACCGGGGCUAAUACCGGAUAACAUUUUGAACCGCAUGGCUCGAAAUUGAAAGGCGGCUUCGGCUGUCACUUAUGGAUGGACCCGGGUCGCAUUAGCUAGUUGGCGAGGUAACGGCUCACCAAGGCAAGGAUGCGUAGCCGACCGGAGAGGGUGAUCGGCCACACUGGGACUGAGACACGGCCCAGACUCCUACGGGAGGCAGCAGUAGGGAAUCUUCCGCAAUGGACGAAGGUCUGACGGAGCAACGCCGCGUGAGUGAUGAAGGCUUUCGGGUCGUAAAACUCUGUUGUUAGGGAAGAACAAGUGCUAGUUGAAUAAGCUGGCACCUUGACGGUACCUAACCAGAAAGCCACGGCUAACUACGUGCCAGCCGCCGCAGUAA
rnacentral:rRNA from 1 species